GAAAAGCUAAUUUUUUAAUGAAUGAAAUAUGUACUAUAUGCAAGACUGCUGUGGAAGUAUAUUACAGUAUAAUAACAAGUAUUGCUCUUUAGAAAAUGUAGAAUUGGUAAAUUUUCCUUUCCCCAUUAUAUAAUGAUUAGGGAAAAAAAUUAGGUAUACAUUUAGACUCUGGAUGGACCUGUGCGAGUAGAUUCAGCCUGCACUAAUGCUCGUGUUUCCUCCUCUGGAAUGACACAUAGGGCUUCCUAGAAGUUGAGAAACACCUCAAACACUGCAAUUUUAAAGAUUCCUGAUGUAUUAAAAGUUAACACACAUCAAAAUUCAUUUUCAUAUAUUGUGGAAUUUUUUAAGUGUUUACAUUUGAUAAGUCAGUGCUCCAUGCUUUUAAAAUACAUACAUAAAGGUAGUGGCCCUACACAUAACAGUUUGCAGGUAUUAUCCAAGUCUUGUAUGAGUCUUGGGCUCAAAUCAGACAAUCCUAAAAGACCGCAAUGUCAUCCAUAUCAUGAGGGGGCACAUGAUUCCAUCCCCAAAGGUCAAAUCCCUUGCCCGUUUUCAAGGGCGAUACCUAAAUCUUAUCCACUGACUUAAAGCCCAGGGAUUCUCUUUAAACAUCGGAGGAGCAGCUCUCUUUGCGAAGGAGUCCCAGAAGAAAACAGUUCGUGGAUGGUAGUCUGGUUCCUAGGUUGGGGACGACUUCACAGGGGUUCAUUGUAUAAUGAAACUUCCCAGCAUUCAUUUUUAUGUCAUAUUUUAUAUGUUUCAAAUAAUACAUAAUGAAAGUUUAAAAAAAUUAAGGAAUUGAAAACAACCGGUUACAGAAAAUCCCUGUGCUUUAGGCACUUGGAGAGCUUAGCCUCUUCGUGAGCACUGGUGCAUGACUGUCGAAAGUUUUGUUGGCAGAAUUGAUGUUUGAGGAGGAGAAUGUCAGAAAAACAGCUGCGCCCUCGGUAGGGCUUAGUGGGCCUGCUCGGGGUGUGGGGUGAGUCUGGACAGCUGCGUUCUAGGUCACUGCUGUAACAGCAGUAAGCCCGGGGCCAUUUUCUCUUUGGGGAAUAAGAUCAUGUUUUGUAAAAAGGUGGGGUUUUUUGCCAAUUUUUUUUCAAAACCAUUUGCCUAAGGAAAUGCUAUUCAUCCUUGCAAAACUCACUGUUAUUUUCAUAGGAGCUUAAUUCAUAAUAGCCCAAACCUAGGAAGAGCCCAAGUGUUCACCAAUAGAUGAGUGGGUACCACUGGAUGAACUGGUAGGUUCCUACGGUGGAAUUCCGCUCAGCCAUAAGGAGUGAACUGCCAACACACGCAGCAACACGGAUGGAGUCUCAGUCGUUGUGUUGGGACAGAACAGACAGAGACAAAAGAUGGCACGCUGCUAUGAUGUCAUUUCUAUCAAGUUCUAAGGGCAACACUGCGCUAUAGUGAUAGAUGCUUUCGGUGGGUGGGUGGUGCAUGAAGAAGCUUUCUGGAGGGACAGUGAUGCAUACGUUCUAUUUUUAAUGGGUUGUGGCUACACUGAUAUUUAAAUUUACCAAAACUCAUCAAACCAUACACUUAAAAUCCAUACAUUUUGCUCUAUUAAACUUAUACCUCAAUUAAAAGACUGAGAAAUAAUGAGAAACAGUAAACAAUAAAUAAAUGGAAUGCUUUUCACCCAUUAGAAAAACCUUCAGACCAUUGGAGCUUAACAUAAUACCUUCAGAUAUUAGUAUGGGCUAAUGUAAGAAAUGUUUGUAUGAAGACUGUUGGUGUCUCUUCCUCAAAAACUCCUUGUGGGGAUGUUGUCAGUAAUGUACUUCAGCGUUCCUGUGCAGAUCUGCAGAUGGCAUUUUUUAUAUAUUUCUUCAUGAAUUGCUAUGAUUCCUUUUAGAAAAUGAUAGUAAAUACAUAGCUUAUCAAGUUUCCUUUUUGUUCUAGGCUUACCAUUCCAUGAAUGCUGCUGUCCUUAGCAUUCUUACCCAUGCUCCAGGUUGUUUUUCUUUAUUUCUUUUUGUUUGAUGAGCUCUUGCCCUGCCUUCCAGGCAGCUGCACCUGGAGAAGCAACCUAGUCUCCUGCUGCCUCCUUGGAAUAGUUUCCAUAUUGUAGGAUAUUUUGGAAUGUCUUCAACCUAAUGUGUCACACCUUCUAUCAGGGUUUCAGUUUGAGUUAUGCCACAGGCUAAACUUUUGAUCUCGGACAAUUAACUACUGCAGACCUCAUUUCCAUCCUCUGAAAAUAGACACGAUGAGUAAGCUGGUGUUACCAUCCCUAAAAUGUUACGAAGCUUACUUUCUAGUUCUGUAUAGAUGCCCUUGCUGAAAAUUGCCCUGUCUCCCCAGCGUGUGUGUGUGUCCUCUGAACAGAGAAAAGGUGAGUUCUGCUGAUUCUAAUUUAGUAUUCACUAUAACCUCCUUCAUGAAGCAUUUUUUUUGACUGUGGAAUUCCACGGCCUCUCCUAUGGCCACUGAAAGCCAAAAUGAGUUGCCUCUGAAUUUGUGUGGAAGCCAAGAUUCCAAUGAGUCGUCCUGAAUUUAUGAUUCUUCCCCAAGUAACCAAUAACUGUCCAUGAUUCAAUCUAUUUAAGUACAUUUCAAAGGCAAUUCAGUUACAUCUAAGCAGCUAAAGAUCAAGUUUAUUGUUUUUCAGUAACUCCAAAAGGCUUUUUUUUUUUUUUAAUAUAGGUAUAUGUACUUCUAGGCAAGUAUAUAGGGGUUUGGCAUUUGCCUAUCUUUUGGAGAAGAAAGUUUUAAUUUCUGUGGCUAGUGUUUCCCUAGGAAUGCCUUUUAAAAUUCCAGUUUUUAUAAUACAGUAUAAAAGAUCUUUCUAGGGACUUCCCUGGCUGUCCAGUGGUUAAGACUCCACGCUUCCAGUGCAGGGGGCAUGGGCUCCAUCCCUGGUCUGGGCACUAAGGAUCCCACAGGCCCUGUGGCAGCAGCAAAUAAAUAAAUUUUUAAAAAUAUAUAAAUAUAUAAAUAAAUAAAUA